UGAGCAAUCUGCCCUUCUCAUCGGAAUAAGCGUUGGAAACGACGUCUAAUGCCGAAUACGACCUCCUUUCGCAUGAUCGGAGGUGGAAAGCUCCGGCGGAGAAGGAU
rnacentral:rRNA from 1 species